GACGAACGCUGGCGGCGUACCUAACACAUGCAAGUCGAACGAGGUCCAAGGGAGCUUGCUCCCUGAAGACCUAGUGGCGAACGGGUGAGUAACACGUGAGAAACCUGCCCUCGAGUGGGGAAUAACCCGGGGAAACCCGGGCUAAUACCGCAUACGCUCCUCUGGUCGCAUGGCCGGAGGAGGAAAGUUUUUCGCUCAAGGAGGGUCUCGCGGCCUAUCAGCUUGUUGGCGGGGUAACGGCCCACCAAGGCUACGACGGGUAGCUGGUUUGAGAGAACGAUCAGCCACACUGGGACUGAGACACGGCCCAGACUCCUACGGGAGGCAGCAGUGGGGAAUCUUGCGCAAUGGGCGAAAGCCUGACGCAGCAACGCCGCGUGCGGGAUGACGGCCUUCGUGGUUGUAAACCGCUUUCAGCAGGGACGAAAAUGACGGUACCUGCAGAAGAAGCUCCGGCUAACUACGUGCCAGCAGCCGCCGCAG
rnacentral:rRNA from 1 species